GAAACGGGCCACUCUAUUCAUGAAGAACAAGUUGAAUGGGCCCUGAGGUUCAGGUUUGAUCUCUAGAUAACAUAGCACCUUAAGUUGGAGAUUUUACAUAGAAAUGAA